GUAACCACUUGCUUUAUUAAUUAUGAGAUGAUUGAAAGAGGAACUACUAACCAAGAAAUUGGUAAAGGCCUAGCACAAAUAUUUUCCCCCUAAUUUUACAGGGGCGGGAAAGACCUGAAGAACUUCAAAACCAAGUGGGAAAUAAGAAUGGGUAACUUGUGUAUUUUUUUUUCCUGGCUUUUUUUUUUUCCUUCUUCCGAAGUCAACAAAGGCCUCAGGGUGUCCAGAUUGCUACUGAUUCAUUCUUACCAAGUUCCUUCUGGUAAUAGUUUUCAAAAGAGGAUCUCAGUGGAGGUGCACAGUGGCGCUCCUAGCUUUCUUUUUACGGAAAGGAGGAAAGGUGCUUGGCACCAGUCGGGGAAGCUCACGCCAAGUGACCGAGACCAGAACUCGCUCUCGACCGGAGCCCCCCAAGUCUGGUGACUUGGAGGAAGGAGGAUCCCGAAUCCCAGCCAGAACUGAGAAAGCCCUCAAAGGUGCGGAAAGGGGACUUUUCCCUCAGGAAAGCCGGCAACAGCAGAGGCCCUAGCCCACGUCGCCACACCCACUCCGCGCGCGCCCCUCGCCUCCCAGGGCCGGCUCUGCUCGGCCCCGCGGCCUCUCGGGCGCCCCCAGCCCGCCGGAAAGAAAGAAGCAGAAACCCGGAGCCUGGGUCCCACCCGCGACCCCUCACCUUCGCCCUUCUCGUCCUCUCACCUGCCAGUCCCCCAGGAAGAACAGGACGCCUCUUCCCCCUGAUGGGCGGCCACAGGCUCGGAUCCUUCCAUUGCCGCCUGAGACACCGCCGCCGGCUACUGGAAGGGGCGUCCUGGUUUCCGGUUUGGGUGUGGCCGCAUGGCGUGCUGUGGUGCAGGUGGCCGAAGGGGGCGUUACUGUUGCGACUGGCAUCCGCAUCCGGCAGAUGUAGAUGGAACCAAAGUCCAGAAGUUACGCGUCACCCUUGCUCUACAGCCAAACAUGCAGGACUCUAGUAACCCGCGAAAUGAUGGGAUAGCGUUGCAAAUCCUUAAAAGAGUCUUAACGAAAUCCUGGCUGACAUUGACUUCUCCACUGCAACCAUCGAGUUCAUUGUCUCCUAAACCUUGCCAUGGAGGCCUGUGGCACCUGAGCCAGCCAUUAUCAUCACCAGCACUUCCAUGAGCUACAAGCUGGACCCACUGCAGUCCUCCUGACACACUGAAAUCAGAGCCUGCACACAGAGCAGCAGAUGCUUCAAUGUAAAGCUAUGUGUUCCAAGAUUACUGAAGCAGGAUUCUGGCCUUCCUGAUAAGAACAUGACCAGAUCCAGCUGGUUUGCAACAAGAUGAACUUCAGUGCUGAGCUUUCACCAAGUUUUUCUCACUACAAUCUCAUUGUAAUACUAAAAUCUCCACCCAAGAUGGAGGUUAUCUGCCAUUUUCUGUACAUGUGUUACCAGAAAGGGGUCCUGAUCCAGACCCCAAAAGAGGGUUCUUGGAUCUCACGCAACAAAGAGUUCGGGGCGAGUCCAUAGAGUAAAGUGAAAGCAAGUUCAUCAAGAAAGCAAAGGAAUAAAGAAUGCCUACUCCAUAGGCAGAGCAGUGGCUUUGGCUGCUCAGCUGCUUGUACUUGUUACUUCUUGAGUAUAUGCUAAACAAGGGAUUGAUUACUCCUUGUUUAGCAGUUUUCUGGGAAAGGAGUGGGCAAUUCCCAGAACUGAGGGUUCCUCCCCUUUUUAGACCAUAUAGGGUGACUUCCUGAUGUUGCCAUGGCAUUUGUAAACUGUCAUGGCGCUAGUGGGAGUGUCUUUUAGCAUGCUAAUGCAUGAGCAGUGAGGAUGACCCGAGGUCAUUUUUGUUACCAUCUUGGUUUUGGUGGGUUUUGGCUGGUUUUGGCCGGCUUCUUUACCACUUCUUUUUAUCAGCAAGGUCUUUGUGACCUGUACUUAGUGCCGACUUCCUGUCUCAUCCUGUGAGUAAGAAUGCCUAAUCUCUCAGGAAUGCAGCCCAGUAGGUCUCAACCUUAUUUUACCCAGCCCCCAUUCAAGAUGGAGUGACUCUGGUUCAAAUGCCUCUGACACAUGUGCCUCAUGUUUGGGCAUGAGACCUCACUGUGUAGGUGCAGAGAAGACCCUGCCUAAACAUUGCCUACACGUUGCUCCUUUUUCCUGCCUCAACUUCCUUAAAAUGACAAGAGCAGAGCCCUUUUGGGAGCUAACAUCAGGACUCCUUUUCUGUACUCUGCUCCGUUGUGCUGCUAGAGCCACAAGCCUAUUAAACUUUGCCUGAAAUAAAUUCCUAUUUGCGCUGGUGUUAAUUUUUACUUAUGAGUGAGCCAAGAACUCAGGCCAGAGUUGCGGUAACACCACCAGAAGAGGUCUCCGCUUGUCAGACUUGAGGGAUAUCAUCAAUGAGCCUCUGAGCUAAUGGUGUAAACCAAAAAUAAAAUUCUAAGCCCCCCGCCAGCCAAACCAUCUGAAUGGACUUCCUCCUCAGCCAGGGUGCUCUUAAAAUUUAACCUGAGAGACUGGUUCAGGUCAUGAUGGGAAGUAGGGGUUGGACAUGCCUCAUUAUACCUCUCCAGCAUUAACAUCAACAUAAACCCUAAGUCUAAGAAAUUUUUACAACCUAUUCUCUCUGAAGCUGACUACCUUGGAGGCUUCAUCUGUUUCAUAAAAUUUUGGUCUCCACAACCUCUUACUUCAACCCAGAUAUUUCCUUUCUAUUGAUCCCAGGUCUUUAGAUAAACUUAACCAAUUGUCAACCAAAAAAUUUUUAAAUCUGCCUAUAAACUGGAAGCUCCGCACUCCGCUCCCCUCCCCUCCCCGCCCUUCGAGUUGUCCUGCCUUUCUGGACAGAACCAAUGUAUUUCUUAAAUGUACUUGAAGUCUCAUGUCUCCCUAAAAUGUAUAAAACCCAGCUGCUCCCUGACCACCUUGGGUACAUGUUUUCAGGGUCUCCUGAGGGCUGUGUCAUGGGUUAUAGUCACUCAAAUUUGGCUUAGAAUAAAUCUCUCCAAAUAUUUUACAAAGUUUGACUCUUUUCUUCGAUAACGGAAACACAUGAUGCCUAGAUAGGGAGUGAACUAAGUGUCUCCUAAGGUCACUG
rnacentral:lncRNA from 1 species